AUGAGGUGCCUGCCGUUCCUGCACGGGGACGCCAAGUCAAGGGACGACGACCGGCGCACGGGCCCCAGCGGCGCCAUGUCGGCCUCGGUGCGCUCCUUCAGCACCGAGUCCACGGAGCGCGGCGACCCGCGCUCCGGCUCCGACCUCAACUCCAUCAACGCCUCCGACAUGAGCGCCGAGUCCAUCCGCCGGACGCAGUACCCGAGCUUCACCGACCGCCCCGCCAACCUCCGGGUCUUCACCUUCCCCGAGCUCAAGGCCGCCACCCGCAACUUCAGCCGCUCCCUCAUGGUCGGCGAGGGCGGCUUCGGCUGCGUCUACCGGGGCGUCAUCAAGGGCUCCGACGACGACCCCGCCGAGCGCGUCGAGAUCGCCGUCAAGCAGCUGAAUCGCAAGGGAGUCCAGGGGCAGAAGGAAUGGUUAACAGAAAUGAACGUGCUUGGGAUUGUAGAGCACCCAAACCUGGUCAAACUAAUAGGUUACUGCGCGGAUGACGAUGAGCGGGGAAUGCAGCGGCUUCUGGUAUACGAAUACAUGCCCAACGGAAGCGUGGAUGACCACUUGGCAAGUAGGUCAACUUCUACUCUAUCAUGGCCGAUGAGAUUGAAAGUAGCUCUUGAUGCUGCCCGCGGGCUCAAGUAUCUGCAUGAGGAGAUGGACUUUCAGGUUAUUUUCCGAGACCUGAAAACAUCUAACAUUCUAUUAGAUGAGAACUGGAAUGCAAAGUUAUCGGACUUCGGAUUGGCUAGGCAUGGACCACAAGAAGGGCUAUCCCAUGUCUCCACAGCGAUCGUUGGAACUCUAGGAUACGCCGCGCCCGAAUACAUGCAAACCGGGCGCCUCACCGCAAAAAGCGACAUAUGGGGCUACGGCGUGCUCCUCUACGAGCUCAUCACCGGCCGGCGUCCCAUCGAUCGGAACCGCCCAAAGGGCGAGCAGAAGCUCCUGGACUGGGUGAAACCGUACAUCUCGGACGUCAAGCGGUUCCCCAUCAUCGUCGACCCGCGUCUUGAGGGCCACUACGACCUCAAGUCCAUGACAAAGCUGGCCGGCGUGGCAAACCGCUGCCUCCUGCGGCUACCGAAGACGCGCCCGAAGAUGAGCGAGGUGUAUGAAAUGGUCCAGAAGAUCGUCGACAGCGUCGAGGUCGGCCCCCCGGAGCCUCCCCUGCACUACCAUGGCUCGGUGUCCGGACCGGGCGCGAAGCGGACCAAGAAAGGGUCGCUGAAGAGGAGGCUCCAGGAGUUCAAGUUCGGGUGCCGCCAGAUCGUGUGGCGGGGCUGGAAACCUGAGAUCGUAAAGACCUGCUGA
rnacentral:rRNA from 1 species